AACAGUUCAAGCGUACAGUACGUAUGAGGACAUUGCUAGUCUUGCUGUUAUUAUGAGGUUUGUCGUACAUGUUAGUGUGUCACUAUAAAUGGUUAAUACAAACAGAAAUGUGAUAGCGUCUUUAAGUAUAACAUAUCCACUAUCUCUGGUUAUGUAAAUAUCUUUUUGAAGCCUGUGACCAGCCUGCUGAAUGGCUUGCUAAGAUACAGUGACUAGGGUCACUUUUCACAUUUGCUUAUAAUGUUAGCGGAGUGUAAACUCAGGAGAUAUAAAGAUACAAAUAA